rnacentral:lncRNA from 1 species
GUGAAGUAGCAAAGGAGGAAACUGUUGUCACAAAUGUGAAAAUCCUGAAGAAAAGUAACGUAAAACCACAUAAACCACUAGGCAAAAAAGAGUGCCAAUUGGUAACAUUUGAUCUUCCUUACUUAGCUUUCUAUUACAACCAAAAACUGCUGAUCUAUAAGGGUGCUGAAAACUUUGAGGAAACGGUGGAAAAACUGAAAGAUGGUCUUGCCUUAGUGUUGGAAGAUUUCUAUCAACUAGCUGGGAAACUGGGAAAAGAUGAAGAGGAGGUUUUCAAGGUGGAAUACGACGAUGACAUGGACGGCGCGGAGGUGAUAGCGGCCGCCGCAGAAGGGAUUGAAGUUGCAGAUCUUACGGAUGAAGAAGGCACCUCCAAAUUCCUGGAUUUAAUUCCUUGUAAUAAAAUCUUGAAUUUUGAAGGGCUUCACCGGCCUCUUCUGGCUGUGCAGGUAAAUGCUUCAAUGCUCCAUAAAUGAAUUUUAAGUUAUACUCCCUCCGUUCACUUUUACUUGACACGUUUUGACUUUUCACGUCCUUCACUUUUACUUGACACGUUUUGACUUUUCACGCCCCUUAAACAAUAAUAAAUGAAGUGCAUGAUUUAUCAUGAUACUCAUAUUAAUUGAUGUAUAUUUUAUUGAAUUUGAGAAAAUGAUUUGAGAUGAGUAAUAAAUAUUGUAAGUAUAAGUAGAAAAAAAAAUUGUCGCGCAAAGUGACAAAUACAUGCCAAGUAAAAGUGAACGGAGGAAGUAUAUACAUUUUACGUGAUUGUUGUAAUUUAAAGUAAUUCGAUUGUAUUAAUACUGUUAGUGUGACACUCAUAAUUUAUUAUUGGCUAUUCUUCAGAAUGAGUUUCAGCUAUUCAUAUGCUUACGUACAUUUAAUGCCCAUAGAGGUUUGGCGGUGGCACAGAAACUAGAAAUGUUGUAUCGAGUUUAUUUCUGAUCAGGAUGUUAAUUUUAGGAAAGAUCCACAACUUUUACUACAAAAGGAAAUGAUACUGUAUCACAAUCAUUUUAAAGUUCCAAGCAUAAGCCAGUCGAUGUGCUAAUACUCCAAUCUUGCUUAUAAACAAAUUAAAUCGUUUAGCUACAUCGUGGUGUUAGGGUUGGUAUUCAAUUAAGACAAAGAUCACUUAAUUAAUGUGAUGAUAAGUUGAACAAUUUAUCCAUAAUAUCAUGAUGGUUCCUAUUGGGGGAAAACAACUUUUUUUAAAUUGAAAAUAAGACCACAAAUUAAAUGUCUAACGACAUUCACAACUAAGUUUUAUCCACUGAUAUAUAUUCUUAGUGUAAUCUGACUAACUCUUAAAGUAUAAAUCUUCUAUCCUUUUUUCAGAAUUACCAAUUUUGUGUAGAUGCUGCAUUUAGUAAAUAAACUUAAAAUGAUCUUUAUUGUAUGAAUAUUUUCUUUACAUUAAAGUUCAUUUGAAAAAGACGCAGAAUAGCAAUUAAUUUGUUGGACCCGUUGAUGACUUAUUUUGUGGUCUCAUUUUAUUUUGGGCAACUACCGACAGCUCACCAAGCUCAAGGAUGGACUCACCAUUGGAAUAGCAUUUAAUCAUGCUGUACUGGACGGUACUUCCACGUGGCACUUCAUGACCUCCUGGGCCGAGCUCUGUUGUGGGUCCACCUCCAUCUCGGUCCCACCUUUCCUCGAACGCACCAAAGCUCGCAACACCCGAGUCAAGCUCAACCUUUCCCCGCCAUCCGACGCACCAGAAUCUGCUAAGUCAGCAACCAAUGGUGAAGUCAUCCCCAGCGUGGACCCACCUCUCCGCGAAAGGCUCUUCAAGUUCUCCGAGUCAGCAAUUGACCAAAUCAAGUCAAAGGUCAACACUAAUCCCCCAGAGGGAUCCUCCGCCCCAUUCU